UGGCUCAGUUAGUAGAGCAUGGCGUUGGCAACGCCAGGGUUGUGGGUUUGAUUUCCAC
rfam:Salmo salar isolate Sally breed double haploid chromosome ssa12, whole genome shotgun sequence.